CCCUCGCCUCUCGUCUCUCACCAGCCGGUCCUGCUCUCCCGCGCGGGGGUUUCGCGCCUGCCUGCGGGCCGCAGGGAGCGGGAGAGGCAGUGUCGGAGGCGGUCCGUAGCCAAAGCACCCGCCAGGCGCCGAGGAGAAUAUGAAACUGGUGUCAAAAUGACAUCCAGAUUUGGGAAAACAUACAGUAGGAAAGGUAGAAAUGGCAGUUCAAAAUUUGAUGAAGUCUUUUCCAACAAACGGACCACCCUUAGCACAAAAUGGGGAGAGACCACAUUUAAGGCUAAAUUAGGGCAGAAGAGGCCCAAUUUCAAACCAGAUAUCCAAGAAAUUCCAAAGAAACCUAAAGUGGAAGAAGAAAAUACUGGAGAUCCUUUUGGAUUUGAUAGUGAUGAUGAGUCUCUACCAGUUUCUUCAAAGAAUUUAGCCCAGGGUAAGGGUUCUUAUUCAGAAUCCAGUGAAGCUGCUCAGCUGGAAGAAGUCACUUCAGUACUUGAAGCUAAUAGCAAAAUUAGUCAUGUGGUGGUUGAAGACACUGUUGUAUCUGAUAAAUGCUUCCCUUUGGAGGACACUUCGCUUGGGAAAGAAAAGAGCACUAACCGAAUCAUAGAAGAUGAUGCAAGCAUAAGUAGCUGUAAUAAAUUAAUAACUUCAGAUAAAGUAGAGAAUUUUCAUGAAGAACAUGAAAAGAACAGUCACCGUAUUCACAAAAAUGCUGACGACAAUACUAAGAAGCCCAGUGCAGAAACUACAGUGGCUUCUGAAAUCAAGGAAACAAAUGAUACUUGGAACUCCCAGUGUGGGAAAAGGCCAGAAUCGCCAUCAGAAAUAUCUCCAAUCAAGGGAUCUGUAAGAACUGGUUUAUAUGAAUGGGAUAAUGAUUUUGAAGAUAUCAGAUCAGAAGACUGUAUUUUAAGUUUGGAUAGUGAUUCUCUUUUGGAGAUGAAGGACGAUGAUUUUAAAAAUCAAUUGGAAAAUCUGAAUGAAGCCAUUGAGGAGGAUGUUGUACAAAGUGUUCUUAGGCCAACCAAUUGUAGGAUGUACUGUAGGGCCAAUAAAGCGAAAUCUUCCCAAGGAGCGUCGAAUUUUGAUAAGCUGAUGGACGGCAGCAGUCAGGCCUUAGCCAAAGCAAACAGUGAAUCGAGUAAAGAUGGCCUGAAUCAGGCAAAGAAAGGUGGUGUAAGUUGUGGGACCAGUUUUAGAGGGACAGUUGGACGGACUAGAGAUUAUACUGUUUUACAUCCAUCUUGCUUGUCAGUUUGUAAUGUUACUAUACAGGAUACUAUGGAACGCAGCAUGGAUGAAAUCACUGCAUCCACUCCUGCAGAUUUGGGAGAAGCUGGUCGUCUCAGAAAAAAGGCAGAUAUUGCAACUUCUAAGACCACUACUAAAUUUCAACCUAGUAAUACUAAAUCCAAAAAGGAUGUUAAACUUAAAUUUUUCGGUUUUGAAGAUCAUGAGACAGGAGGUGAUGAAGGAGGUUCUGGAAGUUCUAAUUACAAAAUUAAAUAUUUUGGCUUUGAUGAUCUCAGUGAAAGCGAAGAUGAUGAAGAUGAAGACUGUCAAGUGGAAAGAAAGACAAGCAAAAAAAGAACUAAAACGGCUCCAUCACCCUCCUUGCAGCCUCCCCCAGAAAGCAAUGAUAAUUCCCAGGACAGUCAGUCCGGUACUAAUAAUGCAGAUGGAGUUUCGCUGUUGUUACCCAGACUGGAGUGCAAUGGCACGAUCUCGGCUCACCACAACCUCCGCCUUCUGGGUUCAAGCAGUUCUCCUGCCUCAGCCUCCCAAGUAGCUGGGACUACAGAAAACUUGGAUUUUAUAGAGGACUUGCCUGGUGUGCCUGAAAGUGUGAAGAAACCCAUAAAUAAACAAGGAGAUAAAUCAAAAGAAAACACCAGAAAGAUUUUUAGUGGCCCCAAACGGAGACCGAGUUUCACCAUGUUACACAGGCUGUUUCAAACUCUGGGCUCAAGCCAUCUGUCUGCCUUGACCUCCCAAAGUGCUGGGAUUACAGUCACCCACAAAAGCUGUAUAUAAUGCCAGACAUUGGAAUCAUCCCGAUUCAGAAGAACUGCCUGGGCCACCAGGAGUAAAACCUCAGAGUGUCACAUGUUAUUAGCUUGACUACUAAAUGUGCCAUGCCCAGUUUUCGAAUGCACCUGAGAGCACAUGGGAUGGUAGCAAUGGUCUUUAAAACCUUGGAUGAUUCCCAGCACCAUCAGAAUCUGUCCCUCUGUACAGCUGCCCUCAUGUAUAUACUGAGUAGAGAUCGUUUGAACAUGGAUCUUGAUAGAGCUAGCUUAGAUCUCAUGAUUUGACUUUUGGAACUGGAACAAGAUGCUUCGUCAGCCAAGCUACUUAAUGAAAAAGACAUGAACAAAAUUAAAGAAAAAAUCUGAAGGCUCUGUGAAACUGUACACAACAAGCAUCUUGAUCUAGAAAAUAUAACGGUAGGUUCCUUCUUCCUUCCUUCUAGGGUGAGAAUUACUUUCAGAAAGUCUUUGGUUAGUUGCAAUAACUGGGUGACUGUGGGCAAAUUAUUUAACUUCUAAUCUUGGUUUACAGUUUGGCAAAUUAUCAGGUUUAGCUCUGAGUAUUUCAUUCCUUUCCUGAACUUCCUAAACUAGUUUAUGUGCUUUUAGGUUUUUUGCCCAGUAAAUUGCUGCACAUUUUCUGUUGCAUUUCACCUAGUCCUUCUCUCUUUAUUAUUUAUUUUAUUUUUUAAGAAAUAAAAGGGGCCAGGUGCAGUGGCUCAUGCCUACAAUAUCAGUGUUUUGAGAGGCCAAAGCAGGCGGAUUUCUUGAACCUAGGAGUUUGGUUCUAGCCUGGGCAACAUGGCAAAACCCCCAUCUCUAAAGAAAAUAAAAAAAAAUUAGCUGGACAUGGUGGUGUGCACCAAUAGUCCCAGCUACUCAGGAGGCUUAGGUUGGGGGAUCUCCUGAGCCCAGGGAGUUUGAGAGUACAGUAAGCCAAGGUUGUACCACCGCACUGCAGCCUGGGUGACGGAGCAAGACCAUCUCAAAAAAAAAAAAAAGGUAGAACUACAUUUAGGCUAUUAGGAAUUUGAAUUCUUAUUCUCCAGGGAUAAAAAUCUUAUAUAAGUUCUUAUUCUUCAGGAAUAAAAACUUCAGAAGAUUUACGUCUGCCUUUUUCUUUUUUAAUUUAUAAUAAUAAUUAUUUUUUAAGACAGGGUCUUGCUAUGCCACCCAGGCUGGAGUGCAGUGGUACAGUCAUGGCUCACUGCAGCUUCAAGCCCCUGGCCUCAAGUGAUCCUCCCACCUCAGCCCCGCAAGUAGCUAGGACUACAGGUUUAUGCCACCAUAUCUGGCUAACUUUUGUGUUUUUGGUAGAGAUGGGGUUUUCACCACGUUGCCCAGGCUGGUUUUGAACUCCUGGGCUCAAGCGAGGUCACCUCAGCCUCCAAAGUGUUGGAAUUACAGGCGUGAGCCACCACUCAUGACACAACUGCCAUUUUCAAUGAAUAGGCAUCUAUUUAUUCCAAGUACCUCAGGGUGUCUGUUUCAUGGGACCUGAAGAACCCUGAAGACACCUCAAGGAAGACUCUUAGGGACCUCACCUCCCCUGAGGUGGUGUUCCUUAUAAUACGGUCAUGGCCAGUAGCUGCUCUUAUGCACAUCACAACGCACCAUGUGUGAGAUGGCUAUGCCAUUUUUGCUUUAUUUCACUUCUGCUUUCUUCUGGCUUUUUUUACUUAUAGAAUCAAUAAUGUUCCAGUGGUUUCUAGGCCGGUAAAAGAUAAUUGGCUUGUGAUUUUUGGAAAAAAUAAGAGUGUUUGUUACAUAAUAACCUGGUUUUUGGACAUUUCCAACAUCAAAACUAUAAUAAACAUUUAUUAUUGUCUAUGCAAAUGUACCCCCAAAGUCCAGGGAAGCUGAGAAACUAAAGAGUGACAAAUCCAGUUUUUCAGAAAGAAACAUUUAGUAGGGACUUAUAAUCAAAAGCCGUGUCUGUGUCUUGGGAUCCCCAUGCUAUUACCCCCACAUCCAGGGUUUAUAUGCCAUAGGGAAAGUAUAAUUCAGAAUAGAUGUGUAGGGCCACUGAAGUACAUCAAGUUGUUUGACCUCAGGUUAGGAUAUACAAUAAGUACCUGAUUUUACACAAGAAACAACGAGUAAACCAGAAAUUUUAGAGGUUUUCCCAGAACAGAUGUUAAUCAGAUCUCAGGCCAGGUGAUGUGGCUCACAGCUGUAAUCCCAGUGCUUUGGGAGGCUGAGGUGGGCGGAUCACCUGAGACCAGGAGUUCUGCCAACAUGGUGAAACCCCAUCUCUAUUAAAAAUAUAAAAAUUACAGCUGGACCUGGUGGCAGGUGUCUGUAUUCCCAGCUACUUGGGGAGGUGAAGGCACAAGAAUUGCUUGAAACUGGAACCUAUGAGGCGAGGUAGAGGUUACAGUGAGCUGGGAUUGGUGUGACUGCACUUCAUCCUGGGUGACAGAGUAAGACUAUGUCUCAAAAAUAAAAAAGCCAAUGUCUCCCCAUUACUUAACUGAAGACUGCAGCAGCAUUUGCCACAAAAAUGUAUAGAAUGCUUUGUGCUAGCCAGAUGUGACUUAAGGCUCUUGCUCUAUUCUGUUUUAAUUAGGUUAGAGGUGGUAAUAGAUUCUGGUUAAGGUGGAGGAUGGGAGAGUUUAACUUUAAACAAGAAGAUACAAAACGGACAUGUAUUCAGUACUUUUCACUUUAUAAGACUGUGGAGAGAGAGGCUGCGCUCAGAUGGCAAAUCUGUAUUCCUCCAUGUCAUCAUACCAUCUGUAUACUACAUUGAAAACUUUUUAACUUUUUUUCUGUUUUGAGAUGAAGUCUUAUUCUGUCACCCAGGCUGGAGUCCAGUGGUGUGAUCUCGGCUCACUGCAGCCUCUGCCUCCUGGGUUCAAGCUAUUCUCAUGCCUCAGCCCCCCAGAUAGCUGGGAUUACAGGUGCAUGCCACCAUGCCCAGGUAUUUUUUUUUUUUUUAAGUAGAGAUGGGGCUUUGCCAUGUUGGCCAAGCUGGUCUUGAACUCCUGAACUGAGGUGAUCUGCCCACCUCGGUCCUAUUGGGAUUAUAGACAUGAGCCACUGCGCCUGGCCAACACAUUUGUAAUUUUUAUUUAUUUAUACCAUUUUUACAAUGUCUACUCAUUUUUUCAUACUAUAAAAGAAUAAAUUUGAGCCUAUAAUUUUUAACUGCCUACAUAGUUGGGUGGAUGUGCCUUUAUUUUUUUGUCUCCGAUGUUCAACAUUUAGAUUCAUUUCCGGUAUGCUGUUAAAUGACAUGAUAAACUUGAUGAUUUAAUUUGUCUUAUGUUUUGUUGAAUUUAUUAGGUUGAUAAAUACCAGAAUAAAAACUUUACUGUAUUAGAUAAAACAACUUUUUUAUUCAUAUGAUUAAGCCAGAGCACAGAUGUCAAUUUUAGGAUUCCUCUUUUUUCCCCCUAACGUUAACUAUUCUUGAGUAUUGUUUGUUUUAAAUUGUACAGUAGAUUUACUGUUGUUUUGUACAAUGAAUAUCUUCUACACAUUAGUUUUGUUACUAGUUGCUUAAUUUCUUGAAUAUAUUGGUAUUGCUGAUGUGCCAUGAAAAGAUAAUUUAAAACAGUAGUAUAGGCAUGCUUUGCUCAAUGACAGAUGUGUUCUGAAAAUGAAUCAUUAGGUGAUUUUGUUGUUGUACGAGCAUCAGACUGUGCUUAUACAAACCUAAAAGUUAUGGCCUACUACACAUCUAGACUGUACAGGUUUGCACCCUAAAAGCAACAGGCUGGUACAGCCUGUUGCUUUUAGGGUGCAAACCUGUACAGCAUGUUACUAUAUUGAACACUGCAAGCAAUUGGAACACAGUGGCAAAAUUUGUCCACCUAAAUACAAAAAAAGGUACAGUAAAAGUACGGUAUAAAAGAUUUAAAAAGAUAAACCUAUAUGGACACUUACCUUGAGUAGAGCUUGCAGGACUGGAAGUUGCUCUGUGUCAGUGAGUGAGUGAGUGAGUGGUGAGUGAACGUGAAGACCUAGGACAUUAUUGCACACCACUGUAGACUUGAUAAACACUGUACACUCUGGCUGUACUGUUUACCUCUUGACUCUUAUAAUAACACUUAGCUUAAAACAUUGUAUACUGUGCAAAAAUAUUCUAUGAGCUUUUUUCUUCUUUCAAAAUUAAUUAUUUUUUUAACUUUUAAAACUUUUUUUUUGUUAAAAAUGAAGACACGUUAACCAAGGUUCACACAGGGCCAGGAUUAUCAAUAGGACUGUCUUCCACCUCCACAUCUUGCCUCAUUGGAAGGUUUUAGGGACAGUAAAACAUGAAUGGAGAUGUCCUCUCCUGUGAUAACAAUGCCUUGUCCUGGAAUGCCUCCUGAAGGACCUGUCUCGGUAUUUUUUGUUUUUUUCCCCCUUGAGACUCUGACUCUGUCAUCCAGGCUGGAGUACAGUAAUGUGAUCUGGUCUCACUGCAACAUUCGCCUCCCAGGCUUAAGCAAUCCUGUGCCUCAGCGUCCCAAAGUGCUGGGAUUACAGGUGCCCACUACCAUGCCCAGCUAAUUUUUGUUUUUAGUAGAGACGGGUUUCACCAUGUUGGCCAGGCUGGUCUUGAACUCCUGAUCUGAGGUGAUCCACCUACCUCAGCCUCCCAAAGUGCUGGGAUUAAUGGCAUAAGCUACCAACCACACUCAGCCAAGAACAACUGUUUUAAGAGAAGUAGAUUAAAAAUCUUUUAUAUCUCUCCCAAAUGUGCAAUACUGGUAAUACCUGUUGUUUGAAUUUCUAAAUAUCUAGUUUAUGUGCAGUUUUCAAAUAGGCCUGAUGGACCUAAUGCAAACUAUCAUCUUUUGAAGCGGAGAAACUGGGAGAAAAACUAGGUCUUGUCAAUCUUUGCUAAUUAAAGCAUUUCUUUUAUUAUGCUGAAGUUCCUUUAUUACAACAGAAACCAAAUUGCUCUUUUUUGGGAGGUGGCUUUAUGCUUUAAAUAGAAAAACAACAACUAAAGUGAAAUAAAGAGAAAGACAAACUUUACUCUGGUUGUAAAUGUGGCUCUUAGCUUUUGUACUCUUCUGGUGGUGAUCCUAAAGCAUUAUUUGAAGUUCUGUCAUCAUGGCCACAUGAUGAAUAUCUGAGCUGUUAAGCCUGCAGUCUUCAGUUUAAAACUAGUCAGUUUGCAGUACUAAAGUGAGCAAAGGAUUUGUAUGCAAAAUAGGCACAAUACACUGAACAAUAAGGAAAGAAUCAGUCUUGCAGGAAAAUAUGGAAAGAAUAACGAAGAGGAAUCUCAUACUAGAAAUAUAGUUAACAUGUGAAAAACUGGUCAAGUUUACUGUAGUUGUAAAAAUGCAACCGGGAGGCCGAGGCGGGUGGAUCACGAGGUCAAGAGAUCAAGACCAUCCUGGUCAAUGUGGUGAAACCCUGUCUCUACUAAAAAUACAAAAAAUUAGCUAGGCAUAGUGACACGUGCCUGUAAUCCUAGCUACUCAGGAGGCUGAGGCAGGAGAGUUGCCUGAACCCAGGAGGCGGAGGUUGCGGUGAGCCGAGAUUGCGCCAUUGCAUUCCAGCCUGGGUAACAAGAGCGAAACUUCGUCUCAAAAAAAAAAAAAUCACUUUUAAGAGUUGAUAUUUCUAUAAGCCUAGUACCUUGACCUGGAAGUAUCAACAGUAUGUUUCAAUAGAGGAAUGACUAUACAAUCCUAAGUUAAUAAAUCUGUUAUUACUGUCCUAAGGCAGAAUCAGUAACAAUUUUCCUAUAUCCAUUUCUUAUUUCAGAGUGGGGCAGCACCAAAACAGGAGAGCAGGAUGGUCUCAUAGGCACAGCGUUAAACUGUGUGCUUCAGGUUCCAAAGUACCUACCUCAGGAGCAGAGAUUUGAUAUCGAGUGCUGGUUAAGUUGAAAUGACUUUUCAGGAAGAGUAUUGUAUCUAGUAAGGUGUGCAAAAUGUUCACCUUAGUUUGGGUUUAAGAACCAAUCCUUUAUUAUUGUGUUUGUUUUCAUGAAUUUCCUAAUGAACAUACUUUUUUUUUUUUGAGACGGAUUCUCACCGUCACCCAGGCUGGAGUGUAGUAGCACCAUCUUGGCUCACCGCAACCUCCGCCUCCUGGGUUCAGGCAAUUCUCCUGCCUCAGCCUCCCGAGUAGCUGGGACUACAGGCGCGCACUACUGUGCCCAGCUAAUUUUUGUAUUUUUAGUAGAGACGGGGUUUCACCUUGUUGACCAGGAUGGUCUCAAUCUCUUGACCUCCUGAUCCACCCGCCUUGGCCUAGUAAAAUCUUUUAUAAAUAAGCUGGCUUUCAAAUUAUUGAGAAAGUAUUAGAAAUGCUGUGAAAAUGUCCAGCAUUGUUGUUUGCCUUUGUUGAUCACGUGAGUUCAUGCUUAUUCCUGCAGAAUACAAUGAAGAUUUGUUACAAGGGUUAUAGAACUAUACAACCCCGCCCAAGACAGAAUGAUCUUUGCUUGUGUAAUUUUUGAUAAAAAAGACGUGGAAUAAUUUGGUUUAAUGAAAACAUCUACAUUCUGAGUUAUUGGUAAAAUACCCUUAUAUUUAACCUUAAGAAAAUUACUUAAAUAGGGUGGGCACGGUGCCUCAUGCCUCUUAAUUUGGGAGUGCUUCAGGAGGCCAGGGGGUGCCGAUCACCUGAUGGCAGAAGUUCGAGACCAGCCUAGUCAAUGUGGUGAAACCCUGUCUCUACUAAAAAUACAAAGAAAAUUAGCCUGUGUGGUGGCGGGUACAUGUAGUCCCAGCUACUUGGGAGGCUGAGGCAAGAGAAUCACUUGAACCCAGGAGGUGGAGGUGGCAGUGAGCCCAGAUUGCACCACUGCACUCCAGCCUGGGCAAUAAAAGCAAAACUGUCUCAAACAAAAAAAGAAAAGAAAAUUAAACACCUAAAAUUCACAGCAAUAAAAAUGGUUAACAGGGAUUUUACUUUAAAUAAUGACUAUCACAGUUUUCAUCAUCUAGAUAAAAUAUUAAUCUUGUAAAUGUAAUGGAAUAAAUGGUUGUAAACAGACUUGUCAUCUGAUUUGGUAUCUAAGGUUAUUAACAGAUAUUAAGUAGCUGGGUAAUUUCCAACUCAAAAAAUGUAAAAAAACAUUUUUUAAAUGUUAUUAUCUUUGUCUAAUUCAAAGCUUUUAUAAAAGUUAUUUAUAAAAUGAGGUAACAGGAACCAGGAAAUAAGGGAAGAAAGUUAAAGAUAUAAAGAGGUAUUUUUGAUAAAGGUGAAAAAAAGCAAUUUUAUAUAAGAAGAAAUCUUGUGUGGUAAAUUUUUUUUCCUAAAAUAAAAUGACCAAGUUGUUCAAGAAAGAGAAUAUUUAGGCAAGACAAAGUCUAAGCAUGUUGUGAAUCAUAUAUAUAAAUUGAUAUUAAGAUUAGUUAAUGGAAACUUCGUGGGUUUUUUUUUUUUUUUUAGAAAACAGGGUGGUAUAAUUUAGUUGGAUAUGAGUAAGAAGAAAAUCCUAAUAGUCUUUCCAGAGGUGGGUCUUUUAUGUUAACAAAAUUACACAAAUAGAAACUAUAAUUGGUUAAAACCAGACUUUAUAUAAAACAUUUAUUUACUUAUAAGACAGAGUCUCACUCUCUCACGCUGGACUGCACUGGUGCAAUCCUGGUUCACUGCAACCUUUGCCUCCUGGGUUCCAGGAAUUCCAUCACAACUUUGCUUAAGUUUCUCUCCUUUCCCCAGCUCCCAGACUGUGCUCUGCCUUCGGUCCGAGCCAACAUACAAACCCCGUUUAUGCCCCUCCUAAGAACAGGCUGACUUCUGGCUGACACAUUCCCUGAGCUUGAAUCUGAUUUUGCCACUCUCCACUCUUCCUCCCACCUUCCUUCUAAUCUUGUUUGCUCCUCCAUAAAAAACACAGCCCUUUUCUGCAUUUUAUGAGAUGCUUGCAGAUCUGAUGCUUGGUGAUUUCCCCAUUAUAAUACUCCUUUAGAAUAAAGUCACGUCUUACCUACAUCUGAAUUUAUUUGACAAUAUCUAGAAACAGCCCCAGGACAAUAACAAUUAUUCCCUCACAGAGGACAUUACAACCCGCCUCCUAUUCUCAACUCUGAUCAUGUCUCCCUGUGUAUUCCCAGCUUUCCAGCGCUCUGUUGCUUCUCUCAGUAUAAAGGCCCGGUCUAUGGCUGCUGCGAGCAGGCUGGGACACCUGAAGGGGAGGACCCUCAGGAAGAAAAGACUGUGCUAUUCAUGAACUCCUUUGACAUGUCUGAAUACUAAUACUGCAAUUUGGGGGGAAAGAAAAAAUAUUUUUAAUAAACAAAAAAGUUAUCUUUUAAAAUCUAAAAAAUUUAAAUCAUCGUUUUAAAAGCCUUACACAGGCCGGGUGCCCCUGUAAUCCCAGCUACUUAAAAUAAAACAUUUAAUUGAGGGAGGCUGAGGCAGGAGAAUGGCUUGGACCCAGGAGGUGGAAAUUGCAUUGAGCUGAGAUCACACCACUGCCCCCUAGCCUGGCAACAGACUCAUCUGAAAACAAAAAAAAAAAAGCCUGACACCAUUCACAGCUAUCAGCCGACACACUAAGCAAGCAUCUGUGAGUGGGCAGAAGGAGCCUUCGCUUUAAAGUGGUUUCUAUAACUGUUUACAUUAAAAGGGACAGAAGAGUGAAGAAUGUGUUGUUGCCCUGACAAGGUCCCAUUCUUUAUUAUAAAGGGCAAUCUUAGUUGUCUUUGAGUUAACUUGAAUUAUUUCUUCUUUUGAAAAUACAAACUUUUCUAGUUAUUUAGCAGGAGAGGUGGUAUUUUCCUGUCUUUUUUGGUGAGGGGUUCAGAUGUUACAUGACCCCUCAUUUCUUCCUUCAGGAGAGGAUGGCCUUGGUGCGCUGAAGACUAGUUAUGUCAUCAACGCUCACAGACCUGGUCAUGCCAGUAUAGAACACUUCGUCUUGUUCCAUCCUUGAUAAAGCCUAAGAAUGUCAAAUAGAAAAGAGGAACAAUUUUAAAAAGGGUUCCAUCCUUUUAACAAUCACCACUGAUGGGAAGCCACACAUGCAGAUCCUUUAGCUAGUUCAGCUACAGCUACUUUGGCUGAGGUUUACACGCCCCCUUCUGGCAGCUUACUUAGGCCAUCUCCUUUCAGGGCUAGAAUUAGAUUGCUGGAGCAAAGGGGAGCUUGCUUUAUUAAGUUACUUAAAAAUUGGGCUCCCCAGAAUGUCACUAUAUUGUGACAGGCUUCUAACAGUAUUAUCUGUUACCUGUGCACUUGUGCCUUAAAAAUAAUGAAAGCACAGUUUUGCAAAAAGUUAGUUUAUUAAUCUAUUCACAUUCUACCCAAUCUAUAAGUUAUUAUAUACUCACAGAAAAUUGUAACCGGGCAGGCAUGUGCUGGAUUGUAUUGAAAUGUCAACAAAGUCUAAUGAUUAAACAUCAAAAGGCACUACUUUUAUGCUUAUGGUAGAAAAUUGUAUUAUUUUAAAAUACUUCCACGAUGCCACAGAACAUGCCUAUUUUAAAUGUUGAUGCUUGUCAGCUGUGAGUAAUUUUGCUGUGUACUUACCAAAAGUCACAAACCAUAAAUAUUACUUUGUUCCAUAAAAGUGAUCAUUUCCAGUAAAAUCCCAUGUACUUCCUGCAGCCAGUACUUGAGACACGCACGCCUCAUACUGUCUAAGUGCAUGUCUCUUGGCUUAGGCACUAAUGGUUUCUCUAACACGCCCAUGGGACUGACUGCACUGUGAUAUACACAGUAGAAAAUGACAAAAAUUUGCAAACCGAGUAACAAAAAGUAGUCAAGAGUGGUAAGUGCAUUGUGGUAUGUAGAAAUCAUUAGAAAUACAAUGGCAAGAAAUCAUUUCUGUAUAUUAUUUGCAAGGGCAAAGGUUCAAAACGUUCAAAUUCAUUAAGAAUAAAUUUGAUUAAAACAUUCUGAAUUAUGGCCACAAAAGAGAUAACAUCUAUAAUUUUCCAAAAAUGUGAAUCCUUAGAAAAACCAUAAGAGAUACAGGAAAUAGAAUGCCAAAAGGUUAAUAAGCUCUUCAGUAUGUUAAUUUUGAAGCUUUCCAUUUUUCUAAUCACUACUUCAUAUGACAUAGUCAUAAAUGUUGGCACUGGUGUUUGACUCAAAACCCACUUAGUUACUUCACAGCCUUACCUGCAGAUCCCAUGCUCUUUUUCUGUCAAGAAGGUAAGUAGGCAAACUCAGGCCCUGCCUGACUAUAAAGUCACGAAGACGGAAGUAGUAUCCGGUAUAAGCACUUUUAGAAACGUUAGUAUCAUAAUCAAUUAGCCUCAAGAAGUACAUUUCCAGCAUAUUCCUGGGGAAGGAGAAACACAACAGAACAAACACAGGACCAUGUUAGUUCACUGGGCUAUCUUCAAAAACAUUAUUCUCAUGUAAGAAAUGUGGUAAGGCUAUCGUGCUCUAGUUUAUUAGAAUUCAUGAAAUAACGCACACUGAACAGAACCCGAUCCAGUGAAGUAAUACAAGAAAGAGUGCAACUUUCCCAAUUCUCUUUGAAAACUCAGAAAAAAACUUGUACCCGAAAUGAAACAUAAAUGUAAAAAAUGUUAAUAAACUUGAUUUUCCCUAUGUUCCUUUUCAAAGACAUAUUCACAUUUAACAUGGAGAAAGAUGACAUAAACUUAAGAAACAUGGUAAAGGCUUCAGCCUUUUUACUUCUCUGAAAACAUGAAAGGAUUCAAUGGGAAAUUCCUUGUAAAUAGAAACAUGUGGUAAGGUCUUCAGUUGUUCCAGUUCCACAAGAAGGUAAGAACUCCUUUCUGAAAAAAAACCUAUGAAUGUAUAGAAUGUAGAAAUGCCUUCAUUUACAUGAUAUUUGCUCCAAGACCCAUGAUAAUACACACUGGAGACAGACCUUAUAAAUAUAAGAAAGAACAUUGCAUUGGAACCCUGGUAGAUUACCAAAUACAGAAAAGUUUACAGUUUUUCUUCAACAUUGAUGUGAAAACUUUCCCUAGAGGAAAAUCCUACUCAUGUUCAUAAAUUGAAAAGCCUGAUGCAAAUUCAUCUUCAAAAAGAUACAUAAGUACAUGUUACCCUACUUUUAUUGUUUCUCAGUGAUUCUUCAUUUGAAAGGUUCUCUGUAUUACUUCCACUUUUGCAAGAAAACAUUGAGGUUACAAUUUUGUAGAUACUUUUUAAACAAUACUAUAUGCAUUAAUAGCAGUUUUCAUUAAGUCAGUUAACAAAACAAUUCUCAGUUCUUUAAAAAUAUCACACUGAGCUACUAGAAUGGCUCCAAAUUCUGUUUUGAAACACAUGGAGGUGGGUUCCUACGUGAAUGUCCAAACAGGGCACAGCUGCUUGCAGUCCAUUCUGAAUCCAGAACCCCAAGAUUGGAAUGAAGAGAAAGGCGACGGCCUCCUCUGUACUUGUGCAGCUGACUCGGGAUCAUUCUUGAGCGUUCUAUCGCACAACUCAGACUUCCCAGUCACUCCCAAGACACCACAAUAGUGAUCAGAUGACAGAAAUGAUGAAUGCCAUUUAUUAGCUGUCACUAUUACGGAGCAGGAAUACUCUUUACACUUCCAAUGGUAGAUCAGAGAGAGACAUCUUGGCUAAACUAAACUCAUUUUAUGAGAUGCCUUCUGGUAGGGUGCCAGCCUUACACACUGUUUCUCCUAAGUUAGAAAUGAAACCCCAAGGUGCUCAGCAUCUGUCACCCCUGGCCACAACAGAAUGUGGGGUUGAGUUGAAUGCACUGAGAGGGGAACAGGCUCGAAGCAGCCCUCUGCAGCAUGAUUAUUCACCUAUCCUGACCAAAGGUUGUUUUUGUUUUUCUGAGACAGGGUCACCCAGGCUAAAGUGCAGUGACAUGAUCCUAGCUCACAGCAGACUCAACCUCCCAGGCUCAAGUAACCCACGCACCUAAGCCUUUCAAGGCUUGGAACUACAGGCUCGUGCCACUUAACUGGGCAAUUUUUAAAAAUUCCUUUUGUAGAAACAAGGUCUCACUUUUUGCCCAGGCUGGUGUUAAACUCGUGAUCAAGUGGAUACUCCUACCUUGGCCUCACAAAGUGCUGGUAUUACAGACAUGAACCACUGUAUCCAGCGCUUGGUCAAAUGUUUAAAUAAAUACAAAACGACAGUAAUCUUCCCACUCUCAUAGUAAUCCCUGUCAAGACUUAAUUGUAUAAAACAAUACCUCAACAGCACACUUGGUUUCUUGCUUUUAAAGUUUCAAUGUUUUAUCCACUGGCUAAGUCAACAAAUGCUUGAAGUUCUCCGGUAUGGAAAGCAGUUAGGAUGUAAGCAGACAUGAGGUUUUCUCACUGGUUUCACUGAAAACCCAGCUGAAACUACUUCCAACAUUAAUUUCCUAUUCAAAUAACCACAAGGCUGUGAUGGGAAUGUCAGUCAGAUAUGAAUAAUCAGCUGACCAGGACUUAAUUUACUAUAGGAACAUGUGCACUUCAUAAUCUCUUGUGUAUUUCCAUAAACACAUUUUAACUGUGUAAAAUACGGUAUUUCAUAGAAUGAUUGUGUUUACUAAUAGUAGUUAUUGAAGACAACAAUUAUCCCUACAGAAUAUGUAUCUCCUUAGUUGUUUUUUUGUUUUUUUUUUUUUUUUUUGAGACGGAGUUUCGCUCUUGUUACCCAGGCUGGAGUGCAAUGGCGUGAUCUCGCCUCACCGUAACCUCUGCCUCCUGGGUUCAGGCAAUUCUCCUGCCUCAGCCUCCUGAGUAGCUGGAAUUAUAGGCACGUGCCACCAUGCCCAGCUAAUUUUUUGUAAUUUUAGGAGAGACGGGGUUUCACCAUGUUGACCAGGAUGGUCUUGAUCUUUCGAUCUCGUGAUCCACCUGCAUCAGCCUCCCAAAGUGCUGGCAUUACAGGCUUGAGACAGUGCGCCCGGCCUCAAUAUGUAAUCUUUUAUCCAUCACCCCCAUUCCAACCUUCCCCCUCUAGUUCCCAAAGGCCACUGUAUCAUUUUAUGACUUUGGAUUCUCAUGGAGAAUACAUAUUUCGUUUUCCAUUCCUGAGUUACUUCACUUGGAAUAACGACCUCCAGCUCCAACCAGGUUGCUGUAAAGGCCAUUAUUUCAUUCUGUUUUAUGGCUCAGCAUUAUUCCAUGGUAUGUAUAUUCAACAUUUUCUUUGCCGAUUGAUGGGCAUUGAUGCUGGUUCCACAUUUUUACAAUUGUAAACUGUGCUGCUAUCAACAUGCAUUUGUCUUUUUCAUAUGACUUCUUUUCCUUUGGGUAGAUACCCAGUGUGAGAUCGCUGGAUUGAUGGCAGUACUGUUUCCACAGUGCUUGUACUAGCUUACAUUCCCAUCAGCAGUGUAAGUGUUCCCUUUGACCAAAUCUGUACCAGCAUAGAUGAUUUUUUGAUUUUUUAAUUAUGGCCCAUUCUUGCAGGAGUAAGGUGAUAUUACAUUGUGGUUUUAAUUUGAAAUUCCCUGAUAAUUAGUGAUGUUUCUGAAGAAAAAUACAUCCUAACAAGACUAACAGAUGUUGAAAAGUUUGAAGAAAAACCUGAUAGACACUAAUUUUUAAAAGGUUCAAUUUACAGUCAAAAAGAGACCUUUACAAACAAUCAACAGUAGAGGGACAAGAUAAAUGUGCAUUAAACACUUUGGUGUAAUGUUUUUCAAUCUCCAAAGAUCAUGAGCAUAGCUCCUCUUCAGAGCAUAGCUCCCGAUGCUUCUGCGUUCACAAAUGGCACUAUGUAGAACUGGUCAUCUUGGGGCUGGCCUCUGUCAUCACUGUCUCUGGAGUGAUGGACACCUGCACAUUUCUCUGUGUAUUCUCUGACCUUGGAACUAGAACUAGAGCCCCGCCAGAUUAGCUGUAGGUCUUGAGAUCAAUUUAACUGCCACUAUAGCGGAGCUAAGUGUUUAUCAUUACAAAUUUUGCUCCCUUCAAGAAACCAGUUUACAAGCUGGGCACAGUGGCUCACGCCUAUAAUCCCAGCACUUUGGGAGGCUAAGAUGGGUGAAUCAUCUGAGACCAGGAGUUCGAGACCAGCGUGACCCAUGGAGAAACAACAUGGAGAAACCCGUGAAGAAAUAAAUUAAAUAAUAGUAGCCUGUAAUUGCUACAUAAUAAAAGUUUACUCGUUCUGUUCAGUAUAAAACCUAACCCCCAGCUCUGCUUGAAAUUAACUCCCUAUCAAAUCUACCUUAUCUACUCUCCCUACUUUCUCAGCAAAGUUCCCAGGCAUCUCAGGACUCCCGUUUUUCUUGCAGUCCAGCUGCAAGGUCACAGGGUAAUAUAACACCAAAGAAUGUGCAAUGUGUUUCUCAAAAUGCGAUUUUCAAACAUAACAUACAUCACAAGACAUGUCACAAGUUAACUGUUCUUUCUCUGGCUUCUGUAAACCUGUUAGUUGCUAUGUCAUCCUGGCUGUAUAACAAAUCAAGCCCUGUCUUUGUUAGGCUCUCAGCCUGGGGAUGCAAAUCCGCCGAACUGGUGGCCACUUCAAUAAAAUCCUCCUGUUUCACCCAUUGGUUUCUCCAGGCUCCUGAAUAUUACGUAACACCCCAUCUCUACUAAAAAUAGAAAAUUAGCUGGGUGUGGUGGCACAUGCCUGUAAUCCCAGCUACUCAGUAGGCUGAGGCAGGAGAACUUGAACCCAGAAGGCAAAGGUUUCAGUGAGCCAAGAUCCCCUCAUUGCACAUUGUUGCCUAGGCAGCAAAAGCAAAACUUCAUCUCCCUCCCUCCCUCCCUCCCUCUCUCACACACACACUCAUUCACACAAAGAAACCAGUUUACAAAUUGAUGACAGUAGUGAUUAAGAGAACUUUAGCUUCUACAACUUUCAAAUGACAUUCAUUUUCUGUUAAAUCCUUUAUAAAAAUGGCUACUAGCAAUAUCACCAUGACAACUCAGUUUAUGCUAUUGGCAAAUUCGUAACUUAGCAGCCAUUUGAACAGCAACCAGCCAUCACUAGUCUCUUCUUGGUUACAAGAAGCCUCAUUUCAAUUGUAAAUAUACACUGUGUUAAUUUUGAAUGAAAGCCUUUAAAAAUUUUCUUGGGGUACAUUGUAGGUGUACAUAUUUAUGGGGUAUAUAAAAUUAUUUGAUACAGGCCUAUAAUGUGUCAUAAUCAUAGCAGGGUAAAUAUAAAAUUAAUUGCACUUCAAGCAUGUGUCCUUUUAUUCUUAUUUUUUUACAAAUAAUUCAAUUAUACUCUUUUAGUUACUCUAAAAUGUACAAUUAAAUAAUUCUUGACUGUUGUCACCCUGUUGUGCUUUCAAAUACUAGAUAUUAUUUAUUCUUUCCAACCAAAUGUGUGCGCCUAUUAACCAUCACCCCUUACUCCUCUCAUCCUCCAUACUACUUUACCAGCAGCUGCAAACAAUUCUCCUACUCUAUAUCUUCAUGAGUUAAAUUGUUUUAAUUUUUAGUUCCCACAAAUCAGUGAGAAUAGGUGAAUUUUGUCUUUUUGUGUCUGGCUUAGUUCACUUAACAUUUCCAUCCAUGUUGUUGCAGAUAACAGGAUCUCAUUCUCCUUUGUGGUUGAAGAGUGCUCCAUUGUGUAUAUGAACCAUUUUCUUUAGCCAUUCAUCUGCUGAUGAAUGCUCAGAAUGCUUCCAAAUCGUGGCUCCUGUGAAUAAUGCUGCAACAUACAUGAGAGUGCAGGUAUCUCUCUGACAUACUGAUUUCCCUUCUUUUGGGUUUAUACCCAGCAGUGAGAUUCCUGGAUUAUAUGGUGGCUCUAUUUUUAGUUCUGAGGACCUCCACACUGUUCUCCAUAGUGGCUGUAUUUAAAUUACAUUCCCACUGACAGUGUACAGGCAUUACCUUUGCUCUAUAUCCUCACCAGCAUUUGUUAUUGCCUUCUUUUACAAUAAGAGCCAUUUUAAGUAUGGUGAGAUGAUCUCUCGUAAUUUUGAUUCACAUUUCUCUGAACAUCAAGGAUAUUGAUGUUCAGUAUCUUUUCAUAUACCUGUUUGACAUUGGUGUGCCUUUCUUAAGGAGUUUUCAAACACGUCUCACUUUGUCAAUCAGGUUGGAGUGCAGUGGCAGAACCACAGCUCACUGCAGCCUUGAUCUCCCAGGCUCAGGUAAUUUUCACACCUAAGUCUUCUAAACAACUGAAACUACAGGCACAUGCCACCAAGCCUGCCUAAAGUGUCCCUCUUUUCAGAAAUGUCUGUUCAGGUAUUUUGCCCAUUUUAAAAAUCAGAGUUUUUUUCUAUGGAUUUAUUUGAGCUCCUUAAGUAUUCUGGUAAUUAAUCCCUUCUCAGAUAGUUUUUAAAUACCUUCCCCCAUUCUGUGGGUUGUGACUUGACUUUGUUCACUGUUUCCUUUGUUGUGCAGAAGCUUUUUAACUUAAUGUGACCUAAUUUGCCCAUUUUUCCUUUGGUUGCCUGUGUUUAUAAAACAUUAUGCAAGAAAUAUUUGCCCAGUCCAAUAUUGUGGAGAGUUUUCCCAAUGUUUUAUUUUAGUUUUGUAUUUGAGGUCUUAGAUUUAAAUCUAUUUUUAGUUUUUUAAAAGACAGAGAUACUGCAUUGCCCAGAUAGUCUUGAACUCCUGAGCUCAAGCCAUUCUCCCAUCUUGGUCUCCCAAAAUGUGAGCCACCCUGCCCAACUUAGAUUUACAUCUUUAAUCCAUUUUGAUUUGAUAUUUGUAUAAGGUAUGAAAUAGAGGCCUGGUUUCAUUCUUCUGCAUGUGGAUAUCCAGUUUUCCCAGCACCCCUUACCGACAGACUGUCAUUAACCCAUUGCAUGUGCUUGGCCCCUUCAUAGAGAAUGAGUUCACUGCAGAUGUAUGAAUUGGUUUCUGGGUUUCUAUUCUGUUUCACUGGGCUACCUGCCUGUUUUUAAUCACACCUGGUUACUACAGGUGUAGAGGGUAACUUGAAAUUAGAUAAUGUAAUUCCCCCAGGUUUGUUUGUUUAUGCUCAGGUUGACUUUGGAUAUCCUGUGUCUUUUUUAGUUGCCUGUAUGUUUUAGGAUUCAUUUUUUUUUUACUUCUAUUUCUGUGAAGAAUGUCGUUGGUUUUUGCAGAAUUGUGGAGGUUCCACAUUGGUGGUCUGAGAUCAGACCUGAAGGAAUUCUCUAGAUUAAUGGACACAGACUCGCUUCUUCACUUACUUUCCCACAAAUGAAGUCUGUCUCUCUGUGCUAAGCUGCCUAAAGCUGGGAGAAACGUGAUACAAGUACCCCUGUGGCCAUGACCUCUGGGACAGCAUUAGGUCUGUCCAGAUGGCACUAGGAGUUGCAGUUCUUGUGACCUAAACAGUCCUUCAGGUUUAUUAAGGACCCCAGACUAUUUUAUCCCAUGGCAGCCAGGCUUUCAUCACUCAAGUUCCAACCAUGGGGAUGAAUAAUUCCCCUAUGGUUGGGGCUAAAUGUUUUUUUGGGUGGAUUCAGCUUUGUUUUGCUUUCUGCUAUGACAAGGCAGCACUGAGUUCAGGGAAAGUCCCGCAGCUGCUGUGCUCUCCCUUCCCCAAGUGUGUAGCCUCUCUCCUUGCCACAGGUUCAGAGUGGUGGCAUCAACAAUUCAAGACAGUCUGUUCUAAGCUGUUCAGUCACGUCAUAUGAACAUUUAAAUAAUUUUCAGUUCUUAUGGAGGUGCUUUUUAAUUUAGUUGCUAAAGUUGUUAUUCCUGUGGGGAGCACAAUUGGCAGAGACUUCUAUUUGUGACUGCAUGCAUCCUGAAUCACAGUCUUAUCUGGAGUAAUAGGCAAAUGUAAAAACAAAGAAACAAACCGAAAAACUAAAACCUCUUGCCACAGCCUGAGGAUCUUCAUCUUCAUAUGCUUCUAUGUCAUCAAGAGGUGUUCCUUCAGAUUUUCCUAAGUGUCACCCACAAAGCCAUUCUCGCUGUCUAGCAAACACUGAGAGCCUGUGCUGGAAAUGCCUCCCUGGCGCACCCUACCAACCAGCUCCAAGACCCUUCCCUUACAGCAGUCAUGAGGCCAGACUGAAAGAAAGACCCAUGAAGCUCCUGUUUCAGUGUCAUGUUGCCAUCUAUGAGCAACCCCAUGAUUUAGCAAGAUUUUUUGCAUUCUCACAGAUAACUUGGGGCCCUCCAAAUGCUGCUGUGGUUGCAUUAAUGCCCUGGGAACCUCCUGAGUGUGGUGAGCAUUGGGUGAUGCCCCAGCAAUGUUUCUCAGACUGCCUGAGGGGAACACUAGAACUUCUAACUCAUCAGCCCAAUGAUGCAAUGCUCCUAAUCGGGAAAGGACAGGGGCACAGGGAACUGUGGCUAUUCCGUAUCUCAAGGUUUCUAUAAAAUGGAUCUUUAGAGAAAAGUGGGAGAACACCGGCAAACGCAAAUACACAAUGUAUGGCUAAGGGUGAAGCUAUACUUCACAAUGCAGAGGCCCCAGACCUGUCAAUGGGCAAACAAUUAUUUCAAAGACCAGAAGUGCGCUCCUCACAAAGAGACUAGAACUUGCAGACAGCUUGUAAAAGCCGUAAGAAAACUGACUGUACUAUUAUGUUUCUCACUGUACACUGGUAAGGUAUUUGCCAAAAACAUUCACCAGAAAAAUAUUUUUCCAUUUAUGAGAUUAUUACAAUGGCAACUUACCAAGACCUACCAAUGAAUAGUGAAAAAUAUGAACUAUUCUUCUAAAACUGGGGAGAAAGAAAGAGUGGUAUUUAAGCCCAUUUUUAUUAUCUGCAUAAUGUAACCUUUAAAAGUAUUUCUCAAAGUGUUUAAGUUUAUGGGAGCAAACAAAGUAUCCAAAAAUGGUUAGAAAGUUCACAAAAACCAUACAAACUCACAGAUCGUCAACUGUAGUUUUCUCAAAGCGCAUGCAUAAGUCCUCAUUGCACACAGCCACAUUGCUCCCAACCUUGAUGACAACAAGAAAGGCUCCGAGGAUAAUCCUCCUCCAGGUGGUUGGACGAAUGUACAUAGGAGCACACUGUAGAAGUCUUCGGAUGUACAUCUGCAAAACAGAACACUGGCCUUUGAUUUAACUCAGUUUAAGUGCUGUGAUAAGAACUCUUAUGAAAAAGCAGAAUACUUCUGGUUUUGACCAGAAAGAUGCCUUUUAUUCUUAUGUUCUACAGAGACUUUGUUUCAUCAGGUUAAGGGGCCAUAUCACAAUCAUAGCCAAAAUAUUUCUGCUACCUACUCUGCCCACCGGGGUAGAUUAACACAUCCAAGGAACAAUGAACCGAGGGCACAAGCUCUCAAUCACAACAUACAUGAGAAUUGCCUGGGGAUACACCCUGGGACUCAGCUUAGACCUACAAUGGCACACAUUCCUGCCCAUGAACCAGAUGGUCUUGUUACUGCUCUUCAUUCCAAGCCCUCCACAUGCCGUGGAUGUGAGCACACUGCAUGUGCAUGUGUGCACUGAAGUGUGGGGGGAGAAAUCAGAAAUCCCUCCUGCUGCCUUUAAUAGCAAUUGUUCUGUAAUGAGAAACCCAAGGCAACAUUUAAGCCAUAAUGAUGAUUCAACUCUCAUGUGUGUAUUUCCUGUCGUUAAGUUUCUCUUAAAAUUCUGAGAUAAUUUCAGAAACCUACUUUCACUUAAAAUCAGGAACAUACUACCCUGUUUACAAGAUCAAUUUCUUUUCUUUCUUUUUUUUUUUUUUUUUUGGAAAUAGAGUCCUGCUCUGUUGCCUAGGCUGAAGUACACUGGCUUAAUCUCGGAUCACUGCACUCUGCCUCCUGAAUUCAAGCAAUUCUCCUGAGUCUCCCAAGUGGCUGGGACUACAGGGGCAUGCUACCAUGAGUGGCUAAUUUUUGUAUUUUUGGGUGAGACAGAGUUUAACCUCGUUGGCCAGGCCAAUUGGUCUUUACAAGACCAAUUUCUAAAGAUGCUUUAUAAAUAGGAAAUAUCUUACCCUACUUUUGAUGGCAUCAACAACAUUUAGAAUUUUUACAUAAAACAGGGAACAUAUAAAUUCAUAAAUCAUUGUCUGUGAAGGAUCACACAUAAUGUAUUUUUCCAUUUCGUCCUGAAAGAAGAAAGGAUGCAAUGUAAGUAUCCAUUGAAGAGAAAACCUGAAGUGCUCUUAAGACAGCAGUGUUCACAUUUGUGCCCAUGUACCAUUUAUAAUGAUUUUGAUUGGUGAGAUGUCUUUCAGUUUUCACAAUAUGAACAGUGGGAUCUUAAAAUACCAUAGUAAUACUCAUCAACAUUCACUUAAAAAUCAUAUGAGCUAAAGGGCAGAAAAUUUUUGUUCUUUUUUACUCUUUGCCCCACAUAAUUCUAUCCAAAUGUAAGCUACCCUUAGGCUUUAAUGCCUUACUGAUGGCAUGUCAUUCUCUGCAAUAAACUUUGGGAAAAUAAAGUUUCCUGUAACCAUGAGGCUCUAAGCCUAUGCUGUUAAAUACAAUAGUCACUAGCCACAUGUGGCUAUUAUGUACUUGAGGAAGUGCAUUUUAAAAUUUUUAUAACAUGUAGGUUGAUAUAAAUUUAAAUUAUUUUCAACUCUCUUCAUAAAUGUCAUGCUUCUGUGUUAAAAGUAUUUACAUAUACUCAUACUGCUUGAUGCUACUAAUAGCUGUCUUUUAAAAGAUACAUUUUCUGUUAUUUUCAUAGUAGAUUUACUCAUACUAGUUCACUCACGAAACAGAGCUGAAGAUCAGUUCUUAUUCUAACACAUUCUUUUUACAACACCUAAGAGGACUAAAUGCAACACAAAAUGGGGAAAAUUUAAAGACAGCUUUGACAUCAGCAUGAAACAAAUACAAGUCUAUGAUAAAAAUACAACCUCAAUAAAAGUGCCACUUACGUCCAAUGGGUAUAUACGUUCAUCAAAUAUUUUGAAAGAUAUAUUUCCAUCUCUAUAAAAUAAGAAUGUGCAUUACUUCAGAAACUGUUAAUAUCUUAGCAUAAUACCUGUUUAAUAUAACAAUGCCUCCUAUAUGCUUUGGUGUUUACUUCACCAAAGCAAAGUUUUUACAAAUUCUUCUCCUGGAUCCCGCCCUGCAGAAUGUUUCCUGACCUCUUCCUCAGCACAUCAUAUCCUGCACUGUGAAGUCUUUUCCACAAUAACCAGUCAGAACUGCCUAUAGGUAUCGACUCCCGAACAGGCAAUGGCAAUAAACCAAACAUAUUUUCUCUGUUAACCACACAAUGAAACACAAGAAUGUUUUACAAAGCAGUAGUCGUGGGUAAUAGUCUUUAGGACUUUCAUAAAUGUAAACGUGAUUCCGAUUUCCUAGCCUCCUUUCUUUUUAGUCCUCUGUAGUAUACUUUCAUGAUCAAUUUAUUUUCUGUUGUUUAGAUUAAAAACUCAUCUGCCCUUUUAUUUUAAGAGGCUAGUCUUUGAUUAACUUUAAACUUUGUAAAACUAAUGCAUUCUCCCUGUGUGAUAAACCAGUGGUUCUCCAAAUGUACUCUGUGGACCUCUGGGGAUCCUGAAGACCCUUUCUGAGAAGGCCUAAGAGGUCAACACUUUUUUUUCUUUUUUUGUUUGUUUUUGUUUUUCUGAGAUGGAGUUUCACUCUUGUUGCCCAGGCUGAAGUGCAAUGGUGGGAUCUUGGCUCACUGGGACCUCUGUCUCCCAGGUUCAGGUUACUCUCCUGCCUCAGUCUCCUGAGUAGCUGCGAUUACGGUGCCUACCACCACGUUCAGCCAACUUUUGUAUUUUUAGUAGAAAUGGGGUUUCACCAUGCUGGCAAGGCUGGUCUUGAACUCCUGACCACAGGUGAUCCAUCUGCUUGGCCUCUCAAAGUGCCAAGAUUAUAGGCCUAAACCACCGUGUCUGCUGGACACUGUUUUGAUAACCAUACUAAUUCAACCUCAGAAAGUUGAUACAAAUUUUUUUUAAUUAACAAAGUAAUAUAAAGACACUGACUACUUUUUCAUAAACACCCGCCACAACUGUAUAAAAGCAAAAGUGGAUAAAACUGCUGGUUUCUCAGCCCAAAUCAAGGCAGUGGUACCAAUUACAUUGAUAGUAAUUCUGUUCUUUAUUGUCCCUUAAAAUUAAAAAGCAGUCUAAAGUACUUAAGAAUGUCUUUGUUGAGGUGGUAAAAAUUAAUGGUGUUACUAAAUCUUGACAUGUCUCUUCAAUAUUCUGAAUCAGUAGAAAGCUAAGAAGCGCUUCUGCUGACUGCAGUAUAGUUGUGUUUAAGAAAAAUUCAUAAUUUAAUUGUGAGCGGAACAAUCACUUUUUUCACAGAUCAUCAUUUUUAUUUAAAAGUACCACUGUGCCGGUGCAAUGGUUCACACCUCUAAAAUCCAAACCCUUUGGGAGACCAAAGCAGGCAGAUGGCUUGAGCUCCUUCAAAGUUCGAGAGAAGCCUGGAAAGCAUGGUAAAACUGUCUCUACCAAAAAUACACAAAAAGCCAGAUGUGGUGCCACACCUCUGUGGUCCAAGCUACACAGGAGUCUGAGGUGAGAGAAUUGCUUGAGCUGAGAUGCCAAUGUACUACAGCCAAGUGACAAAGUGAGACUCAGUCUAAAAAAAAGGACAACUACCAUUAUCAAAAAUAAAUGAACACGUGUUCCCAAUGACAAAUUAAGCUUUCCUGAGGACUUUGAAAAUCUCACUCCUUCUACUGUAGGCUUGACAGCUUUUCAACACUUAAAGACUUUUAAAAUAAUAUUGGUGGUUAAAAGUGAUUUUUGACACAAUAAAACAUAAACCAAUAUAUUCCAAAUAACUAACGCAUGAUAGUAUAAAUGCAAGUAUGGAGGAAAAGAUCCAUUUACCAUGCAAGACAGAUUAGUGAGAACUGAUUUUAAAAAGUAGCACUUGCCAAGUUUUCACUUAUUAUUAAAUACUCACAGUGGUCUCAAAGCUUUAACAAUGCACCUUUUACCAACUACAUAUUUGCAUGAGAUUAAGUCAUGUCAUUGCUUCCCUUUUUUGACUACAGGCAUGCACUAUCAUGCCCAGCUGUUUUUGUAUUUUUAGUAGAGAUGGGUUUCACCAUAGUGGUCAGGCUGGUCUCAACCUUCUGACCUCAGAUAAAUCUGCCUUCCUUGUCCUCCCCAAAGUGCUGAAAUUGCAGGUGCCUCCCACCACACCUGGCCAUCUUAUUGCUUCUUAAAGCAAAUUGCAAAGAAAGACCUAGAGAAUCCGGCUGUCUUCUAUUAAGUGUGACAUUCAGGGUUUUCAAUAAUAUAAAUACAUGACAUACUUUUUACUCUACUUUUUGUUGUAGAAAAUCUAUUUUCUCAUUUAAAAAUCUAUGUUAACAAUAUUUUUCUCAAGAAGUAUUUUCUGUUGUCACAACCUGGGUCAUGGGUUACUACUGACAUCUACUUGGUAUAGGCCACCAGUGCCGCUAAACUUUCUGCAAUGCACAGGGCAGUCCUUGUGACAAAUCGUUAUCAAGAUCAAGAUAUUAACAGUGGUAAGGCCGUAAAAUCUAAACUAAAAAUAGAUUUUGAAAAAAAUAACAAUUUUAUAGUUCUAUGACAGUAAAUAUCAAUAUCAUCAAUAUAAAUACAUACUCUUUGAGAUUCCCAAUCAUUUAAGAAUUAAAAGUGUUAAGGACCAAAGAAAACACAAAUAAUUUGCUUGGAUAUUUUAGUAGGCCCAAUACAGCUCUCGAUGUCCAGAGCUGUGACCUAAAGGGCUUGAUAGCUUGCAAAGUAAUUAGCCAGAAUAACAAGACAGUUUUUUAAAAAGCUCACCUUUCCUUGAUAAGAAUAUAUAACUCCAAGGAGAUACUGUGGAAGAAAAAACAUUCAAUAUAACAAUAGAUAUUAUCAAUUGUUAGGUCUGAAGACAUUUUUUUAAAAAGGGUGUGGUGAAAACUCUGCUAGCGGCCCUGAAAUUAAAACCUUGUAGUUCAAAACAGAACCAUAAGGGCACUUUGUUUUCAUUUCUUGGGUUUUAGCAAAAAUAUGAGAAUAAAAAUGCAAGGCAAUACAAUACCCUGUUAGAAAACAUGUUUCUGUUGAUGAUUAUAAUUUAUAAAUAAUAACAUAUUUCCCUGUUAUAUGUUCUUCUACCCACAAAACCUUUCAUCACAUGCAAUUUUAUGUAUUUAUUGUGUGACCCAGUCUUGCUCUGUUGCCCAGAGCAACCUUGGCUCACCACAACCUCCACCUGCCGAGUUCAAGCAAUUCUCAUGCCUCAGCCUCCCAAGUAGCUGAGACUACAGAUUGGUGCCAUUAUGCCCGGCUAAUUUUUGUAUUUUUAGUAGGGAUGGGGUUUUGCCAUGAUGGUCAGGUUGAUCUCAAACUCCUGGCCUCAAGUGAUCUGCCUGCCUCAGCCUCCCAAAGUGCUGGGAUUACAGCUUGAGCCACCACACCCUGACUCAUGCAAUUUAUAUCUAUGUGUACAUAUGUUUAAAUUUCAGCCACACAGUAGUGAUUUCUUUUUUAAGAUGUUAGGCCCUGCAUUUUAGUUUAGUUCACUAUCUCCUACCCACCCAUUUUUAAAAUUAUUUCCCAAAAAAUGCAUAACAUAGUGAAAGGGCUUUAUAACAAAAUUAUUUGAAAUUGCUUUUGCAUAAUUAUUAGAAAAUAUAUCAGUAAACAUAAGCUCACAUGACAUCAAUGAUAGGUACAGCAAUCCUAAAAUAAGCAGUACUUACAAGGUAGUGUAGCAUGAUACAGUGUAAUAUCAAUGGCAGGUAUCUUCAGUUAGUUUAACUGAAAUAUUUAUGAACACACACAACUCUUCAGAUAUAUGUAACUGUAUUCCUAAGUUACCCACUGAUGCUGUGUUUCAGAAAACAAGAGGUUCUCUUACAUAAGUUAUGUGCUUCCAUUUUCCCUCAGCAUCUACGAUGAGGUUCAAAAUAACUGAGGGAAGGCACAUCUCAAUUUUAAUAAUAGGUCAAUAAAAUAUCAACACUUUUUAAAAAAGCCUGUAACAUUAGCACUUCAGAGGGAUAUGUCUAUAGUGCGUUAAGUAGUUUUCAUCUCUGAAAAAAUUUUAAAAUCACAGAAUUUGAAGUUAUAUGCUGGAAAGAACCAAUGACCUUACAAGACAUUUAAUCCAACACUCAUUUUACAGGUCAGGGGAAUAAAUCUUAAAACUGACUUGCCCAAGGUCCCAACAAACAGGAGCAGUUUCUUGCCCUAAACUCAAAUUAGGCAGUGGCUCUACAUUUUGCUGCACAUUAAAAUCACCUGAGAAGCUUUAAUAACUGCCUCAUUUUCAAUAAUUAGCAUUGGAUAUAACUUUGGCCAUCAGGGUUGUUGGUAAAAGUUUCCCAGGUGAUUUCAAUAUGCAGCAAAAUUUGAAAUGAUUGAGUUGAGAUGAAAAUCAGAACCUUCUGGGAUGCUUUUCUUCACAUAAAGAUGCUAUGUUUUCCUAAAAGGCUUCUCAGUGCCUGGAGAAAGAGGGAAAGUGGAGAUUGGAGGAUACAUGUAUUUGCAGACAUGUAUUUUGAAGACAAACUUUGCAAAAGUGAUCCCAAUGAGUUCCACCUAUCCCACUGAUAACAGUGCACUACUAACUUGUGAUGAACAUUUUUCAAAAUCUUUUCCUGAAGCCAAUUUGCCCUAUUAAUUUGUUCAAUAAAUCUCUAUUUCACCAAAAGUGAAUACACCAAAUGAUCAUUUCUCAAACUUGCUGAUGGCAAAUUAAAACUUAAUUUACUUUUGAAAGUAGACUUCUAAAAAUUAAAGAAUGAGGAAAAAAGCAUGAAAUUUGUUUGAACAAGACUAUCUUCAAAGCUACUUUGGCAUGCUAUGCUAACACAUAAAAAUCGGUUGCAUUCAAAAGCAGCCAGGGACUUCAGCCAAAGUAGUUUGUUUUUAUGCUCAAAGAUUUAAGAGAGACAGCCGGGUGUGGUGGCUCAGGCCUGUAAUCCCAGCACUUUUGGAAGCAGAGGUGGGCAGAUCACCUGAGAUUGACAGUUCAAGACCAUCCUGACUAACAGGGAGAAAGCUCAACUCUCCAAAAAAAAAAAAAAAAAAAAAAAAAAAAAAAAUCAGCUGGGUGUGGUGGUGCAUGAUUGUAAUCUUAGCUACUCUUGGGAGGCUGAGGCAGAAUUGCUUGAACCUGGGAGGUGGAGGUUGUGGUGAGUCAAGACGGUGCCAUUGAACUCCAGUCUGGGCAAUAAGAGGAAAACUCUGUUUAAAAAAAAAAAAAAAAAAAAAAAAGAAAAGAAAGAAAAAAGAGUGAAGAAACUUGGCUGACUACAGACAUUUAGUGAUUACUCAAUAGGUCCCAAAGCUCAGCACCUAAGACAUAAUUUGAUUCCAAUUUGUACUGAAACACAAUUUCAUCUCAACUAUUGUUAUAAGGGAGGGAGGAAAGUGACAUUAUUAUGAGUGUAAACCUGCCAUUUUUAAUUAAAGUAAAAGUUACUGAAAAUUGAAUUUGCUAAAAAGGCUAGUGCAUUCAAAACAAAAUUAUUUAUAAGAUAGUUAUAUUUCUAGAAUGAAAAGGAAACAAAUGUAAGGACAUUAAUAUUCUAAAUUAGCACUUUGCAAACUGUGCUCUAAAAAUCAACACUCAUAACCAAGGAGAUUAAUAAUAAUAUAUCAUGGACAGCCCCUGUGGUAAUGGUGUUGGUGGUUGUUCCUUUUAAAAAAUAAACUUCAACUAAGAGUGCUCUCAAAGUGCAUCUUUGUGGCCCAUGAGGUGCUCAUGCACGAUGGGAGAAAUUCAAAUGCAGAUACACUGCGGUGCCAGAGGAAAAAAAGCUGUUCCUUUUUCUAAGACUAAUGUCCAAAGUAGUACACAUUGACUGAGGCCUGCAUCGCAUUUAAAAACUAAUUUUUCACAAAAAAAUCAAUAAAGACAACCUAUACUUCUCACUGCAUUCAAUAUUCUUUUAAGGCAUAAAGGCAUCAAAUAAAUAGCAACACUUUUUCUGAAAUUGCUUAUUUGCUAAGAGAUUUUUCCUUCCACCAUGACGUAGAAGAUGAAAAGAGGAAUUGAUACUUAAUUAGAAUCUGGUAUCAACAUAUAGUUGACUCCAAUUUCUUAAACUGAUUGAAGAGGACAAUCAAAUGGCUGAAAUAAUUUUAAUCUGUCCCUUGGCAAUAUAGUUGUACUCACUAGUGUAGUGUCAUUUCAAAAUCAGGGCAGCUGGCUGUGCUGUCUUCAAGGAAAAUUGUCGAGCAUGAACUGAAUUUCAAAGAAAAACGAUCCAUAUAUAUCUACAGAGGAAGGAAAGGAUAAGGUAAACUUAUCAAAGUGUGUUUCUUUUUUCUCAGUUAAAAUGUCCAAUGACAAAGCACUAAGAUAUUUCUUACACUCCAUGAACUGCCUGAGUGUGAUAUCAUGUGCACUGUAUAGAAAAACCAGUGGAGGCUCUUAACUUCCAGAGGUGAUAUUGAGAUAUGGGUUAGAAAAUGCUGCUCUUAAUAUGCUACCUGUCAUCAAACCUAAAAAGGAUUUUAUGAAUUCUCUUUAUAGAUAAUGACAAAAGUUUAAAAUACAAUUUCAUUGUUUUUUCUACCAUGAUAUAAAGCAGCUAAGAAUUUCUAUUAAUUUAUUACAAUAAAAUGUAUUGUAUUAAAUAAUACUGGUACAAGACAAAUUUAUUGCAAUGAAUACAAGACUAAUGUAUUUACAAACUUACUAAUCCUACAUGUAUUAUUUCAGGCAAUAUGGUGACAAAACAGGUGUUUCACAUUCAGAGGUUCUGUUUGCCAGGGUUACUAGGCCAGUACCAAGUGAGAAAGCCAUAGGUUUCUCUAGUCCUAUUUUCUUAUGUGGAGGAUAAAAAGAUUAUCACUGAAAUAUUCUCACACCCUGAAAACAGAUAACAACUUAAAAAAUUUAACUUUCAUUUCAUGUUUAAAGACUGCCAUGCCAUGACUCAAAUGAAACUCUCAGAAUACUUGCCAUUCAUUUAAAAAGUUGAUUGAUUUCAUUCUAUAAAUCAUCUGACCUGCACCUAGGCAUUUUCCUGUUAUACCCUUGCUCUCUGCCUAGAAGACUUUUUCUCUCUCCUUGUUUCAGCAAGCUUGAUUCCAUCUACCUUCUUGGAUCUUUCUGCCAGUAACCACACACAAAAAAAGUUUUGUUUUUGUUUUUUUAUAUACUAAUUAAUUUCACCACUGGUUACAAGAUACUAAUUCUUGCCAAGUAUUUCCCUCAUAAAAAAGUAUGCCUUUCCAUAAGAAUAAGGGAGGGCUCUUACUCUUUCUACCUCCAGCUGCUGAGCACAGAAUUUUGAGUAAAUCAAAAACUUCAACAAGUAUUUAAUAAAUUAAUUCAGUUAUAAUUUGGAAAAUAAGUCUUACUAAACUUAAUUACACCAAAAACACUCCUAAUGGUUUACUGUUUAUAGGUAUUUAAGGUAGUCAACAAAAAAGAAACAAAUCUAACUGCAGUCAGCAUGAAUAAAGAGUGUGAAAUUUUAUGACCUUUAACAAAAAGUGGAAGGUGUUACAUAGUAGGUUAACAACAAAAAUUAGAAAAUAAUUACACCUAGUAAUUUAGUAAGUCAAAACCAAAGGCUUACCAUCAAAGGUCCAUCUUUCACUUCCUUGGUUAAGUCUAUUCCUAAGUAUUUUAUUUUAUUUUUGCAACUAUUAUAAAAAAGGCUGAGUUCUUGGUUCAAUUAUCAGUGUUCACGGUUAGGGUAUAACAGAGUUACUGAUUUGUGUAUGCUAAUUUUGUCUCCUGAAACCUUGCUAAAUUCAUUUAUGAGUUUCUUGGAGCUUUCUGGAAAACUCUGGGGAUUUCUAAGUAUAAAAUCAUAUCAGCAGCAAACAGUGACAGUUUGACUUCCUAUUUACUGAUCUGGAUGCCCUUUAUUUAUUUCUUUCUCUUGUGUGAUUGCUCUGGCAAGGUCUUUCAGUACUAUGCUGAAUAAAAGUGAUGAGACUGGGGCAUCGUUGUCUUGUUCCAGUUCUCAAAGGGAAUGCUUUUAACUUUUCCCUCUUCAGAAUUAUGUUGGCUGUGGGAUUGUCAUAGAUGGCUUUUAUUACAUACAUGACCUUUGUAUGCCAAUUUUGCUGAGGGUUUUCAUCAUUAAAAAAUGCUGGAUUUUGUCAAAUGCUUUUUCUGUGUCUAUUGAGAUGAUCAUGUGAUUUUUGUUACAAAUUCUGUUUAUGUGGUGUAUCACAUUUAUUGACCUGUGUUAUUUCAUCCCUGGAUCCCUGGUAUGAAACCCAGUUCAUCACGGUGAUCUUUUUAAUAUGCUGUUAAGAAGGACAAAACAUUGCUCAAUGAAAUGAUGGACACAAACAAAAGGAAAGACAUCUCCUGCUCAUGAAUGGAUAGUAUGAAUAUUGUAAAAAUAAGCAUAUUGCCAAAAGCAAUCUACAAAUUCAAUGAAAUUCCCAUCAAAAUACCAUCAUCCUUCUUCACAAAAGUAGAAAAAUAAUACUAAAAGUGAUAUGGGACCAAACAAGACUCCACAUAGCAAAAUCAAAAUGAAGCAAAAACAACAAAUCUGGAGGCAUCAAUCACAUUCCCUAAUUUCAAACUAUAUUAUAAAGCUGUAGUUACCAAAACAGCAUGCAACUGGUAUAAACACAGGCACAUACACCAAUGGAACAGAAGAACCCAGAAAUAAACCCAAAAAUUUAUAGCCAAAUGAUCUUCAACAAAGCCAACUCAAAUAUAAAGUGAAGAAAGCAAACCCUAUUCAACAAAUUAUGCUGGGAUAAUUGGCAAGCCAUAUGCAGGAGAAUGAAACUGGAUCCUCAACUAUCAUCAUACACAAAAAUCAACUCAAGAUGAAUCAAGCACAUAAAUCUAUGCCUGAAACCAUAAAAAUUCCAGAAGACAAACUUGGAAAAACCCUUCUAGACACUGGCUUAGGCAAAGACUUCAUGACCAAGAACGCAAAAGCAAAUGCAACAAAAACAAACAGGUAAGACUUAACUGAAGAGCUUCUGCACAGGGAAAGAAGUGAUCGGCAGAGUAAACAAACAACCCACAGAGUGGGAGAAAGUCUUCACACUCAUAUAUCUGACAAAGGGCUAUUAUCCAGAAUCUACAAGGAACUCAAACAAAUUGCAAUUUACAAAUUUCAAUUACAGAAAUACGCAACCAGCCCAAAUGCCCAUCAGUCAACGAGGGAAUAAAAAAAUGUGAUAUACGUGCAUAUAUUUUAUAUACAUAUUAUAUAUAUGAUGGAAUACCACUCAGUUACAAUAAGGAAUAAAUUAAUGGCAUUCCCAGGAACCUCGAUGAAAUUGGAGAUUAUUAUUCUAAGUGAAGUAACUCAGGCAUGGACAACUAAACAUUGUAUAUUCUCAUUCAUACAUGGGAGUUAAGCUACGAAGAUGCAAAGGCAUAAGAAUGAUACAACGGAGUCUGGAAACUCGGGAAAGUGUGGGAAAAGGGUGAGAAAUAAAAGACUACAAAUCAGGUUUAGUGGAUACUGAUCAGGUAAUGGGUGCACCAAAAUCUCACAUAUCAUCACUAAAGAACUUAUGUAACCAAAUACCACCUGUUCCCCCCAAAACCUACUGAAAUAUAAAAUAAAUAAACUAUAGCAAUCUUCUCAGCAAACAUAAAUAAAAUAAAAUAAAAACUAAAGUUUACGUUUUUCUCUCUCCUUUUUGGCAGGACAAAUUUUAGGCAUGUCUUUUUUCCUUUUUCUGAGACAAGGUCUGACUUUGUCACCCAGGCUGAAGGGCAGUGGUGCAAUGAUGGUUAAUGCAACCUCAAACUCCUGAGUUCAAGCAAUCCUCUGCCUCAGCUGCCUGAGUAGGUAAAACUAAAGGCAUAUGCCACUAUGCCUGGCUAAUUUGUUAGUUCACCAUUUUGUAGAGAUGAAGUCUUGCUUUGUUGACCAGGCUAAAAAUAAACAUUUCUUAAUUAACUUAAAUAUUUGUAACACUGUGAGCAUUCAUGAAAAGAGCUCCAUCUAUGUUAUGAAGUAAUAAGAUAAUAUAACAGUGUACAAAGUUUGAAUGAAAAAAACAAGGCCUUAUCUGUAACAAGCUUAUUAUAGAUACAUCACUAAAAAAUUGUCUGGGUUAAUAUCAUUAAUGAUAUUAAUGAAAUUAAACUUUGAUUUAUGCUUUAAUAUAGGUCCUAAAUUUGGAUUAAAUAUAAUAGAUUCAUCAUAAACUUAUUUCCUCUCCCUCUAGACAUCUCUUUUGUCACAAAAUAAAGGUGAAACACAGUGCCAGGAGAGAAAGUUGAAAAGAGACAAUUUUUAAUAAAUGCUGAGACAUAAAAAGUAGAUAAAAAAAAGUGGUAAAUAACAGAGAAGCACAACUAUGAUGCCUAAAGAAAGUGGAGGCCGGGAAAAGAGGUUCACACCUAUAAUCCUACCACUUUGGGAGGCCAUGGAAUUCAAGAACAGCCAGGCCUACAUGGUGAAGCCCCAUCUCUACUAAAAAUACAAAAAUCAGUUGGCUGUGAUGGUAGUUGCCUGCAAUACCAGCUACUCAGGAGGCUGAGCAGAGAAUUGCUUGAACCAAAAAGGCGAAGAUUGCAGUGAGCUGAGAUGUCACCACUGCACUCCAGCCUAGGUGACAAACCAAGACUCUGUCUCAAAAAAAAAAGAGAAAGUGACUGCAACAGAAGCGAGCAGUUUGUCUUGUAGAACUAAAGGUGGGCUGUGAACUUAGAGGCAAAUAGCACUUUAAAAAGUAGUGCAAAAUGUAAAACAAAGCCACCAAGGUCAGUUGAAAAUCUGUGGUUAGAGACUCACAUCCACUUGUUCUCCCAUCUGAUAAGAAACUUAGAUGUGUGUUCCCUGGCUAUACCAAACCUGAGAAUUUCUGGGUCCCAACUACCAAAGAUUAAACCUGAGAUAUAAAGAAAACUAUACACCAAAAAUGGAACUCCAACUUGCUUCCCUAACUCUGCUUUUGGAAAGCAAGUAGUCAGGCAGAAACUUAAAAGAACAUUCUCAAGAAACUAAACUGUCUUGAAUAAAGAUCCCCAGGUAAUACACUGAGGUCUCCCAAAUGAAAAGCUAGUUGCUUCCACAACCUCACACUGAGUGCCAUCAGUUAACAGAAGUCCUGCUUCCAAAUCCAAGCAAGGAAGCCAGGGACCACCACACAUUGGAGUAAAGCCUCCAACAAGAGAGACUAAAACAACACACAAAAUUCAUGGGACCAGUCAAAAUCGGGAGCAAAACUUUUUAAAAAAUGUUAAAACUCUCCAAAAAUAUACAUAUAAAAAAUUGAAGGGAAAAAAUUGGAAACAAAAGCAGGUCUACUGGUCUAAGCAGUGUAGCGCCUCAGUAACAUGACUACCAGAAAAAAGGAACAGAGAAAAUAAAAAACAUUCUCAAAAAGAGACUCUGCAGACUUAGUAGCCUCAGUAAAAUGAAAAGAUCCCCUGCCACGCUGUUAUUAUAAAAUUUCAGAAUCUCAGAGAUAGAAAAGCUCCAAAAAAGCUUCCCAAAACACAUAAAAACGUGGUUAUAAAUAACGUGUCACGCAAUGGCAGUAGAUUCAAGAAAAAAAGGUGAUGAGAGCAAAAUUGCAGAAUAUCUUCAGAACCAUAAAAUUUAGAUUCAACCUAGAAGUUUACUCUCUAUCAAGGAAGAAGAAUUUUAAGACUGGUCAGAUCUCUAAACAUCUCUGCCCAGGAACGUGUGCUUAAGUACAACUAGAGAGGAUAACAAGACAGAAAAAAAACACAGAAUCUAGGACUCACGUGAUCCCACACAAGAAGGCAGUUAUGUGAGAUUCCCAAAAGACUUUAAAAAGAUAGCACAGAUAGACUAAAACAUCAAGUAUAUCUAGGUAAAACCACUCUAUACUAAACAAGGAUGACAAAAGGCCAAAGAAAGGUUGCCCACCACCCGCCAAAAACAAAGAGGAACAGAUAUGUUUUAGCAGAUGGAAAAUAUCUUUGAAAGGCAUGUGAUAAAUGCUACCACACUUGAGUGUGUGUGGAAGGGAAUCAGCUGUUAGAAAACAGGCAAAUGAAUAUAGUCAGAAAAUCAGCUUCAUGCUAAAAAAUAAUGGAUGCAAAAUGUAAAUUAUAUGUAAAAUAUAAUUUAACAAUUAUUAUUUUUCAGUAAAGUGACAGACCAUCCAGAGGCUACGUAUUGCAUUUGGCUGUAUAAACCAGCAUAGGUCAGGAAAAAAAGAUGAUCCAGAAGAAGUGCAGAAGUGCUCAGAUUUCAGAACUGUUUCAGAGAAAGGAUGAAGGAAUAUGUAAUGAAGAGACACAGUGAAAACAACAUAUAACUCAGCAGUGAAUAUUUGGAUAGUCAUAAUCAUGUCAAUAUUACUGAUUGAAUUAAAAAGUGUGCUACAAUUGAAAGAAACAGAGGGAGAAAAAUAAGGUCAUGUUUAGCAAGGAAGAUAAGCUUUCACCUGCUGUGACAGAGGGUCAAUACACCAUACUGACAAUUAACUUAGCUCUUUUUGUUGUUUCAUUAAAAAUAAGACUAAAUAUUUAAAGCAGAUCUUUAUACCACAACCAAGUAUUGAAAUUUAACUUAAGUGUCAGAAAUCCUUAAAAGGUGGGCACACUAAGCUGAAGACUUUUUGGGAUAAAUUUGAUAGGAAAGUAGAAGAGAUUCAGAAAAAUCCAUGAAACGAGGUCCACUCUAUCACCACUGGUCCCCAUUAUAAUAAAAAGUAAUCAAAACAGACAUACUUUUACAUCAAACUAUCAAUUCCUCAACUUUUUGACUGUUUACUUACAUGGUUUCUAUGGCUGUUUUCUCCUAUUUCUUGUGCUAAGAAUAAAAGAAAAAAAGGUCACUUCUGCCACAAAUAAUAUAAAAUAAAAGUAGUUGUGAAAGUCUUACUACUCCUAUGUAUAAUCAGAGAAAAUUCCAUUAAAAAAUUAAUUUCAACAAUUUAUAAUUUAAAUUUUCUGGCAUGAUAAAUCUCAUAAGUAAAAUACAAAAACUCAGAUUUGUUUUUUGACCUGGUUUACUUUCUGUUUUGUUAUAUACGAGUGAAAUAAUGCUCAUGUAAAAAAAGGCACAAAAAUUAGGCCAGAUAAAAAAUUUAGCUAACUAAAAAAUUUAAUUGUUGCAUAUAUGAGCCAUGAUCCGUUAGUAUUCUCCCAUUCUGGAUUUACAUAUAGCUUAAUUACCAGAAUCUAAGAGCUAAAAGCUCUAAGAACUACUUGCUGGCCAGGCACCUAUCUCUAGAUGCAUCAGAAUCCCUGUAAGCCUCUCCAACCACAAUUAGUGGUCAUCUAUAAUAUGUCGCUACAAAAAAACAAACAAACAAAAACAGGGUCUUUACACAACUGAAAAGUAACCAAUCUUAAAUUUAAUCUUUUGUUUGUUCUUUUUUUUUUUUUUUGAUAUAAAGAAGUCUCCCUCUGUCACCCAGGCUAGAGUAAAAUGGUAUGACCUUGGCUUACUGAAACCUCUGCCUUCAGGGUUCAAACGAUUCUCCUGCCUCAGCCUCGGAGUAACUGGGAUUAGAGGCGCACAAUACCAUGCCCAGCUAGUUUUUGUUUCAGUAGAAACAAGGUUUCAGCAUUUUUGUCAGGCUGGUAUCAAACUCCUGACCACAUGAUCCAUCCACCUCCACCUGCCAAAGUGCUGGGAUUACAGGUAUGAGCCACCACACGCGGCCAAAUUUAAAUGUUAAAAAAAGUAAAGAAAUUUGGAUAUGGUGUCUGCAGCAAAAAAAAAAAAAAAAAAAAAAAAAAGAAUAGUAAGAGCUUCAAGAGGGAUUUGGGCCUUGCUUUGUUUCUUAUACUGCCUCUACCUUUAAUGCUGGAAAGGCCUUGUAGACAAACAUUCCCAUCACUGAAGUGUGAGAGACAUGGAAUAGCUUUUUUUUCUGCUUUCAUGCUCUCCAAGUGUGAUAAGCCCAUGUCUCUGAAAGUAAGUGGAAAAUAAACCUCUGAUAUGGUUUGGAUAUGUCUCCCUCUCCAAAUCUCAUGUUAAAAUGGGACCCUUAAUGCUGAGGACAAGGCAUAAUGAGAAGUGUUUGGAUAACAGUGGAGCAUUCCUAAUAAAUGGCUUAGUGCCAUUCCCAUGGUAAAAAGCAAAUUCUCAUUUUGGUAUUAAACCAACAUGAGUUUUUCUUUUUGCUUA